rnacentral:rRNA from 1 species
AUUGAACGCUGGCGGCAGGCCUAACACAUGCAAGUCGAACGAGUGGCGGACGGGUGAGUAAUGUCUGGGAAACUGCCUGAUGGAGGGGGAUUACUACUGGAAACGGUAGCUAAUACCGCAUACCAUCAGAUGUGCCCAGAUGGGAUUAGCUUGUAGGUGGGGUAAUGGCUCACCUAGGCGACGAUCCCUAGAUGGGCUGAGAGGAUGACCGGCCACACGGGGACGGAGACACGGUCCAGACUCCGACGGGAGGCAGCAGUGGGGAAUAUUGCACAAUGGGCGCAAGCCUGAUGCAGCAAUGCCGCGUGUAUGAAGAAGGCCUUCGGGUUGUAAAGUACUGUCAGCGGGGAGGCGUUACCCGAAGAGAAAGCACCGGCUAACUCCGUGCCAGCAGCCGCGGUAAUAC